CUGGGGCGGGAGGUUUCCCCGUCGCAGGCCUUGGAGCGUGUCGCAGUGUUCAUAAUCCGCGUGUGCGGCCGUGUUGGUGAGAACAAAGAAAAUGGGAAGAAAAAGCCACGUGCGCUGGAGCUUGCUCGGUGUCAUCCCGGCUGAUCGGCGGCUGGAGGAGAGCAGUAUCUGAGCUGCAUCGAGGGAAGAGUCUGUCCUAGGAAUGAGCAGAGACCGAGAGCCAUGGCUUGGAUCCACUCCCAGCUGAGUUAUUGCAUUGCUGUGUGGCCCUGGCCAUGGU